CCGCCGGCGACCGGCGCACGGGUGAGUAACACGUAUGAAACCUGCCCGUAGCAGGGGGAUAAGCGGAAGAAAUUCCGUCUAAUACCGCGUAACAACCCAUGGAGGCAUCUCUGUGGGUUUAAAGGAAGCGAUUCCGGCUACGGAUGGUCAUGCGUCGCAUUAGCUUGUUGGCGGGGUAACGGCCCACCAAGGCGACGAUGCGUAGGGGUUCUGAGAGGAAGGUCCCCCACACUGGUACUGAGACACGGACCAGACUCCUACGGAAGGCAGCAG
rnacentral:rRNA from 1 species